rnacentral:rRNA from 1 species
GUAAGGAAUAUUGGUCAAUGGACGCAAGUCUGAACCAGCCAUGCCGCGUGAAGGAUGAAGGCCCUCUGGGUUGUAAACUUCUUUUACAGGGGAAGAAACCUCUUUUUUUCAAGAGAGUUGACGGUACCCUGGGAAUAAGCACCGGCUAACUCCGUGCCAGCAGCCGCGGUAAUACGGAGGGUGCAAGCGUUAUCCGGAUUCACUGGGUUUAAAGGGUGCGUAGGAGGGCAGGUAAGUCAGUGGUGAAAUCUCCGAGCUUAACUCGGAAACUGCCGUUGAUACUAUCUGUCUUGAAUACCGUGGAGGUGAGCGGAAUAUGUCAUGUAGCGGUGAAAUGCUUAGAUAUGACAUAGAACACCAAUUGCGAAGGCAGCUCACUACACGAGCAUUGACUCUGAGGCACGAAAGCGUGGGGAUCAAA